CGUAUUUCAAAUACAAAAUACUAUUUUGUAAUUUGUAUUUUAUUGAGAUUAUGAAAAUGCCUUCGUAUUUUGUAUCAAAAUACUUCAGUGUUGUGUAUUUUUGUAUUUUCAAAAUACUGUAAAAUACUUUCUGUGAAACACUGUGAUAACAUCUAUCUAUCUAUAAACGAAUGUCUCUGUCUGUGGCACCUUCGCAUAGUUAAGCCCCUGUGACGCCACGCUCGGCCACUAGGGAAUGUUGGCGCUGUUUCACACUUGCUAUGGGCAUGCACAUUGCACUCACAACACAAAACGUUCGGUGCUGCAGAUUGAGUUGGGUAGCUACGUUGGCUACUUUGUCCGGACCUGUCAUACAUUGUUUCAAAGCAAGAUUCAGGUUCAGAACGUGAUUGGAGGGACAGUUAGGAGUUGCAGGGACCUGUGAGGAGAAAUGAGUGAGAAUGAGUGGGAGAAUGGGAGACAAUGAGGAGAGCAGCUCUGACCAGCCCCUGGAAAUACCAGAGGAGAAUCCUACCCCAAGCACUAGUACUGCUCAGUGGACUGUGAGAUCAGCGAUAUUAGAUGGGACUUAUUUUGAAAUUGUGAAACAAACAGAAUCUGGGCAAGUUCAGGCUGAGUGCAAAUUAUGUACAAAGAAGAAAACCAUCAUAUCUGGUUCUGUUCAAGCCACUACAAAUUUCAAAACUCACCUGAAGAGGUUGCAUGCUGAGGUACUUCCAGAGUUUGAGCAACACAAGCAGGGUUUCAGCAGCGGAAAGAAAAGGACCAUCGGUACCACACUCAA